rnacentral:rRNA from 1 species
AUUGAACGCUGGCGGCAGGCCUAACACAUGCAAGUCGAACGGUAACAGGAAGAAUCUUGCUUCUUUGCUGACGAGUGGCGGACGGGUGAGUAAUGUCUGGGAAACUGCCUGAUGGAGGGGGAUAACUACUGGAAACGGUAGCUAAUACCGCAUAACGUCGCAAGACCAAAGAGGGGGACCUUCGGGCCUCUUGCCAUCGGAUGUGCCCAGAUGGGAUUAGCUAGUAGGUGGGGUAACGGCUCACCUGGGCGACGAUCCCUAGCUGGUCUGAGAGGAUGACCAGCCACACUGGAACUGAGACACGGUCCAGACUCCUACGGGAGGCAGCAGUGGGGAAUAUUGCACAAUGGGCGCAAGCCUGAUGCAGCCAUGCCGCGUGUAUGAAGAAGGCCUUCGGGUUGUAAAGUACUUUCAGCGGGGAGGAAGGGAGUAAAGUUAAUACCUUUGCUCAUUGACGUUACCCGCAGAAGAAGCACCGGCUAACUCCGUG